GUGGGGAAUAUUGGACAAUGGGCGCAAGCCUGAUCCAGCCAUGCCGCGUGUGUGAAGAAGGCCUUCGGGUUGUAAAGCACUUUUGUCCGGAAAGAAAAGCAUUCGGUUAAUAACCGGGUGUCCUGACGGUACCGGAAGAAUAAGCACCGGCUAACUUCGUGCCAGCAGCCGCGGUAAUACGAAGGGUGCAAGCGUUACUCGGAAUUACUGGGCGUAAAGCGUGCGUAGGUGGUUCGUUAAGUCUGAUGUGAAAGCCCUGGGCUCAACCUGGGAAUGGCAUUGGAUACUGGCGACCUAGAGUGCGGUAGAGGGGUGUGGAAUUCCCGGUGUAGCAGUGAAAUGCGUAGAUAUCGGGAGGAACAUCUGUGGCGAAGGCGACACCCUGGACCAGCACUGACACUGAGGCACGAAAGCGUGGGGAGCAAACAGGAUUAGAUACCCUGGUAGUCC
rnacentral:rRNA from 1 species